GACGAACGUUGGCGGCAUGGAUUAGGCAUGCAAGUCGAGCGAGAAGGAAAUCAAAGUUUACUUUGGUUUCCGGAAAGCGGCGAAAGGGAGAGUAACGCGUAGUUAUCUACCCCAAGGCCCGGAAUAGCUGCGGGAAACUGCAGGUAAUGCCGGAUAAUAUCCCCGGAUCAAAGGUGUGAUUACGCCGUGGGAGGAGACUGCGUUGUACUAGCUUGUUGGUAGGGUAAUGGCCUACCAAGGCUACGAUGCAUAGCGGGCGUGAGAGCGUGGCCCGUCUCACUGGGACUGAAACACUGCCCAGACACCUACGGGUGGCUGCAGUCGAGAAUCUUCGGCAAUGGGCGAAAGCCUGACCGAGCGAUGCCGCGUGCGGGAUGAAGGCCCUCGGGUUGUAAACCGCUGUCGUAGGGGAGAAAGGACCGUUGAAGAGACGGUUUUGAUCUAUCCUAGGAGGAAGUCCGGGCUAAGUUCGUGCCAGCAGCCGCGGUAAUAC
rnacentral:rRNA from 1 species